rnacentral:rRNA from 1 species
UGGGGAAUCUUGCGCAAUGGACGAAAGUCUGACGCAGCGACGCCGCGUGGGGGAUGACGGGUUUCGGCUUGUAAACCCCUGUUGCCCGGGACGAACGCCUCCUUUCGAGGAGGGUGACGGUACCGGGUGAGGAAGCACCGGCUAACUCCGUGCCAGCAGCCGCGGUAAUACGGAGGGUGCGAGCGUUGUCCGGAAUCACUGGGCGUAAAGGGCGCGUAGGUGGCGCGAUGAGUCAACGGUGAAAGCUCGACGCUCAACGUCGAGUCGGCCGUCGAUACUGUCGUGCUUGAGCACUGUAGGGGCAGAUGGAAUUCCGGGUGUAGCGGUGGAAUGCGUAGAGAUCCGGAAGAACACCGGUGGCGAAGGCGGUCUGCUGGGCAGUUGCUGACACUGAUGCGCGACAGCGUGGGGAGCAAACAGGAUUAGAUACCCGUGUAGUCC